AGAGUUUGAUCCUGGCUCAGGAUUAACGCUGGCGGCGUGCCUAACACAUGCAAGUCGAACGAGGUAGCAAUACCUAGUGGCAGACGGGUGAGUAACGCGUGGUCAACCUACCUUCGAGUGGGGGAUAACUAGCCGAAAGGCUAGCUAAUACCGCAUAAUACCGUAGCCGGCAUCGGCAUCGGUUGAAAGCAGCAAUGCACUCGGAGACGGGACCGCGUCCGAUUAGUUAGUUGGUGGGGUAACGGCCUACCAAGACUCCGAUCGGUAGCUGGUUUGAGAGAACGACCAGCCACACUGGGACUGAGAACGGCCCAGACUCCUACGGGAGGCAGCAGUGAGGAAUUUUCCGCAAUGGGCGAAAGCCUGACGGAGCGACGCCGCGUGUGGGAAGAAGGCCUUCGGGUCGUAAACCACUGUCGAGGGGGAAGAUACUGACGGUACCCCUGGAGGAAGCCCCGGCUAACUACGUGCCAGCAGCCGCGGUAAGACGUAGGGGGCAAGCGUUAUUCGGAAUUAUUGGGCGUAAAGCGCUCGUAGGCGGGACAGGAAGUCCGUGAAGAAAGACCUGGGCUCAACUCAGGGACCGGCACGGAUACUCUUGUUCUUGAGGCAAUCAGAGGGUGAUGGAAUUCCCGGUGUAGCGGUGAGAUGCGUAGAUAUCGGGAGGAACACCAGUGGCGAAGGCGAUCACCUGGGGUUGUUCUGACGCUGAGGAGCGAAAGCUAGGGGAGCAAACGGGAUUAGAUACCCCGGUAGUCCUAGCCGUAAACGAUGGAUACUAGGUGUAUGUGGUAUCGACUCCAUAUGUGCCGUAGUUA
rnacentral:rRNA from 1 species